GCGAUACAGGGUGACAGCCCCGUACACAAAAAUGCACAUAUUGUGAGCUCGAUGAGUAGGGCGGGACACGUGGUAUCCUGUCUGAAUAUGGGGGGACCAUCCUCCAAGGCUAAAUACUCCUGACUGACCGAUAGUGAACCAGUACCGUGAGGGAAAGGCGAAAAGAACCCCGGCGAGGGGAGUGAAAAAGAACCUGAAACCGUGUACGUACAAGCAGUGGGAGCCUCUUUUAUGGGGUGACUGCGUACCUUUUGUAUAAUGGGUCAGCGACUUAUAUUCUGUAGCAAGGUUAACCGAAUAGGGGAGCCGAAGGGAAACCGAGUCUUAACUGGGCGUUAAGUUGCAGGGUAUAGACCCGAAACCCGGUGAUCUAGCCAUGGGCAGGUUGAAGGUUGGGUAACACUAACUGGAGGACCGAACCGACUAAUGUUGAAAAAUUAGCGGAUGACUUGUGGCUGGGGGUGAAAGGCCAAUCAAACCGGGAGAUAGCUGGUUCUCCCCGAAAGCUAUUUAGGUAGCGCCUCGUGAAUUCAUCUCCGGGGGUAGAGCACUGUUUCGGCAAGGGGGUCAUCCCGACUUACCAACCCGAUGCAAACUGCGAAUACCGGAGAAUGUUAUCACGGGAGACACACGGCGGGUGCUAACGUCCGUCGUGAAGAGGGAAACAACCCAGACCGCCAGCUAAGGUCCCAAAGUCAUGGUUAAGUGGGAAACGAUGUGGGAAGGCCCAGACAGCCAGGAUGUUGGCUUAGAAGCAGCCAUCAUUUAAAGAAAGCGUAAUAGCUCACUGGUCGAGUCGGCCUGCGCGGAAGAUGUAACGGGGCUAAACCAUGCACCGAAGCUGCGGCAGCGACGCUUAUGCGUUGUUGGGUAGGGGAGCGUUCUGUAAGCCUGUGAAGGUGUGCUGUGAGGCAUGCUGGAGGUAUCAGAAGUGCGAAUGCUGACAUAAGUAACGAUAAAGCGGGUGAAAAGCCCGCUCGCCGGAAGACCAAGGGUUCCUGUCCAACGUUAAUCGGGGCAGGGUGAGUCGACCCCUAAGGCGAGGCCGAAAGGCGUAGUCGAUGGGAAACAGGUUAAUAUUCCUGUACUUGGUGUUACUGCGAAGGGGGGACGGAGAAGGCUAUGUUGGCCGGGCGACGGUUGUCCCGGUUUAAGCGUGUAGGCUGGUUUUCCAGGCAAAUCCGGAAAAUCAAGGCUGAGGCGUGAUGACGAGGCACUACGGUGCUGAAGCAACAAAUGCCCUGCUUCCAGGAAAAGCCUCUAAGCAUCAGGUAACAUCAAAUCGUACCCCAAACCGACACAGGUGGUCAGGUAGAGAAUACCAAGGCGCUUGAGAGAACUCGGGUGAAGGAACUAGGCAAAAUGGUGCCGUAACUUCGGGAGAAGGCACGCUGAUAUGUAGGUGAAGUCCCUUGCGGAUGGAGCUGAAAUCAGUCGAAGAUACCAGCUGGCUGCAACUGUUUAUUAAAAACACAGCACUGUGCAAACACGAAAGUGGACGUAUACGGUGUGACGCCUGCCCGGUGCCGGAAGGUUAAUUGAUGGGGUCAGCGCAAGCGAAGCUCUUGAUCGAAGCCCCGGUAAACGGCGGCCGUAACUAUAACGGUCCUAAGGUAGCGAAAUUCCUUGUCGGGUAAGUUCCGACCUGCACGAAUGGCGUAAUGAUGGCCAGGCUGUCUCCACCCGAGACUCAGUGAAAUUGAACUCGCUGUGAAGAUGCAGUGUACCCGCGGCAAGACGGAAAGACCCCGUGAACCUUUACUAUAGCUUGACACUGAACAUUGAGCCUUGAUGUGUAGGAUAGGUGGGAGGCUUUGAAGUGUGGACGCCAGUCUGCAUGGAGCCGACCUUGAAAUACCACCCUUUAAUGUUUGAUGUUCUAACGUGGACCCGUGAUCCGGGUUGCGGACAGUGUCUGGUGGGUAGUUUGACUGGGGCGGUCUCCUCCUAAAGAGUAACGGAGGAGCACGAAGGUUGGCUAAUCCUGGUCGGACAUCAGGAGGUUAGUGCAAUGGCAUAAGCCAGCUUGACUGCGAGCGUGACGGCGCGAGCAGGUGCGAAAGCAGGUCAUAGUGAUCCGGUGGUUCUGAAUGGAAGGGCCAUCGCUCAACGGAUAAAAGGUACUCCGGGGAUAACAGGCUGAUACCGCCCAAGAGUUCAUAUCGACGGCGGUGUUUGGCACCUCGAUGUCGGCUCAUCACAUCCUGGGGCUGAAGUAGGUCCCAAGGGUAUGGCUGUUCGCCAUUUAAAGUGGUACGCGAGCUGGGUUUAGAACGUCGUGAGACAGUUCGGUCCCUAUCUGCCGUGGGCGCUGGAGAACUGAGGGGGGCUGCUCCUAGUACGAGAGGACCGGAGUGGACGCAUCACUGGUGUUCGGGUUGUCAUGCCAAUGGCACUGCCCGGUAGCUAAAUGCGGAAGAGAUAAGUGCUGAAAGCAUCUAAGCACGAAACUUGCCCCGAGAUGAGUUCUCCCUGACCCUUUAAGGGUCCUGAAGGAACGUUGAAGACGACGACGUUGAUAGGCCGGGUGUGUAAGCGCAGCGAUGCGUUGAGCUAACCGGUACUAAUGAACCGUGAGGCUUAACCUU
rnacentral:rRNA from 1 species